CCCACACCUGGGCGUAGGUGGGUGUUCGACCAGAGAAGAGAAAGAAGGGGGAAACCCCUUCUCAAACCCUAAUCGACCAAAUUGGAUGGAUUCUGGCUGAAAUCGAACUUGCAUGAACAAGAUUCUUGAUUGUUCAACUCUGUAAAACACAUGGAAUCCCAAUUGACAUGGACUCAAGAAUGGAAGGCUAACGGAUCAAGGGUAAAUAAAGAAGCUAUGCACAACUCGGACACACGAUGUAUUGCACGUAUCUCUACCACUACUAUCGAAGAUAAGCAUGCAUUGAUCGAGCCCCAAAUUAAUGAUUGUACGGGAAGAACGGCCACAUAGUCUGAUUUAUGUAUUGUCUUGAAGUGUUACUUUAAUGUGGUUAUUGUUAAUCCCUUUUUUGUAAAUGUUUAUAAUUUGUAUUUGAGCUUUUAAAUAAGUAAUGGGUCUAAAUAAGAAAGAAAAUUUUUGG